GGGUUGUGAGGUUAAGCGACUAAGCGUACACGGUGGAUGCCCUGGCAGUCAGAGGCGAUGAAGGGCGUGCUAAUCUGCGAUAAGCGCCGGUAAGGUGAUAUGAACCGUUAUAACCGGCGAUACCCGAAUGGGGAAACCCAGUGUGAUUCGUCACACUAUCAUUACGUGAAUACAUAGCGUAAUGAAGCGAACCGGGGGAACUGAAAC
rnacentral:rRNA from 1 species